rnacentral:lncRNA from 1 species
CUAUAGUUGUGGUAACUGAAAAUGUGAUCGACCUUCUAUUUUCACUCAAGGUAGGUUUCGAGGUUAUUCUUCCCUUGAAAGGCUAGUAUUUAGAACCUGAAGUCAUGGAGGUCUCCGUCUGCCUUUUCGCGACGACUUCCUUGUCUGUCACCAACAUUGUCGCCACACAAUCCUAUCUCGUUGUGCACUAUUUGGUGUCAAGCGCAACUAGGGUGCUCGCCUCACUCCUGGGGAUCCAUGCGGGCAGCCAUGUUUCCCAACUGGACACUUAACUGGGUGAACAUGUCCAUGACUCUUUCUUUUAAGGUGUCUGGGUGGCUGUUGGUGCUUUGGUGAGACAUUGUGGAAUUCCUGCAAAGGAAUUAAUAAAAACAAUAUUUCUCUCUCACCUUCGCUCGUGUUUACCUCGUAAUCUCUCAAUUGAUAGCUUCAUAUGUUGAGUUGAGUAUUCAGAAUCAGAAUCACUUGAAUCGGGUUUGAAUGUUAGUCCUUACGACACAACGAGGAACCCUAAAAGAUUCUGAUUUCUAUGGAAGCUCAGAAAUAAGCACACAGAGAAAGGACUGGUGUGUUUCUUGUGUGUUAAAUAACUAGUAUCAAUUAGUUGCUUUAGCUAUGUAAUGCAACAAAAAUAAAAUAAAGACA